rnacentral:rRNA from 1 species
GAUGAACGCUGGCGGCGUGCCUAAUACAUGCAAGUCGAGCGAACAGACGAGGAGCUUGCUCCUCUGACGUUAGCGGCGGACGGGUGAGUAACACGUGGAUAACCUACCUAUAAGACUGGGAUAACUUCGGGAAACCGGAGCUAAUACCGGAUAAUAUAUUGAACCGCAGGGUUCAAUAGUGAAAGACGGUUUUGCUGUCACUUAUAGAUGGAUCCGCGCCGCAUUAGCUAGUUGGUAAGGUAACAGCUUACCAAGGCAACGAUGCGUAGCCGACCUGAGAGGGUGAUCGGCCACACUGGAACUGAGACACGGUCCAGACUCCUACGGGAGGCAGCAGUAGGGAAUCUUCCGCAAAGGGCGAAAGCCUGACGGAGCAACGCCGCGUGAGUGAUGAAGGUCUUCGGAUCGUAAAACUCUGUUAUUAGGGAAGAACAAAUGUGUAAGUAACUAUGCACGUCUUGACGGUACCUAAUCAGAAAGCCACGGCUAACUACGUG